GUGGAUUAGAUACCCUGGUAGUCUUAGCUGUAAACGAUGAGCACUUGAUUGGAGGGUCCUCCAUAGCCUUCCAGUCGUAGCGAAAGUGUUAAGUGCUCCGCCUGGGGAGUAUGGUCGCAAGGCUGAAACUCAAAGAAAUUGACGGGGCUCACACAAGCGGUGGAGGAUGUGGCUUAAUUCGAGGCUACGCGAAGAACCUUAUCCUAGUCUUGACAUGCAUGGAUUAACCCUGUGAAAGCAGGGCCACGCCUUCGGGUGGAACAUGCACAGGUGCUGCACGGUUGUCGCCAACU
rnacentral:rRNA from 1 species